AGUAAAUAUUUUUUGAAAAAUGUGAGCGUGAUACUUCAUCUUUAAAAGCUGGCCCUGUACGAUGUCAAAUCUUCCUUCUUGCACAACUGACGGUCUGGCACAGUGACCAUUUCUUGGGCCGAGGCAAUAAAAUAAUAUUGUUUUAGCUAACUAGCUGCGCAAUGCACAAAUGGACAAAAGGACAAUUGAGGAAAUGGCCAACGGGUGGCAGAGGCCUCUUGUUUGACGAAAGCCUUUGAAUUUAUCGCGAGCUUACUCAACAUUUUAUGGAAAGUUCAAUGUUUUCCCGCCACGUUUCCUACAAACCAAUUGAAGAGUAGGCCAAAUGUAGAAGAAGAAAUAUAAAAAGAGCUCUCGCCUAAAUUCAGCUUUUAGAGCAUUGCCUAAAUGGUUAAGCCCCAAAUGGCUGACGGUAGCAUUUCUUAGAUUGAUUUACAGUACAAAUAGCUGCUUAAGUCAACUUAGCGGCUAAGUCUGGAGAUCAAAACUCAAAAGGAUCUGAUGUGAAGAGGAGAGAGUAUG